rnacentral:rRNA from 1 species
ACUCCUACGGGAGGCAGCAGUGGGGAAUAUUGCACAAUGGGGGAAACCCUGAUGCAGCCAUGCCGCGUGUGUGAAGAAGGCCUUCGGGUUGUAAAGCACUUUCAGUAGGGAGGAAGGUAGUGUAGUUAACACCUGCACUAUUUGACGUUACCUACAGAAGAAGCACCGGCUAACUCCGUGCCAGCAGCCGCGGUAAUACGGAGGGUGCGAGCGUUAAUCGGAAUUACUGGGCGUAAAGCGCAUGCAGGCGGCCUGUUAAGUCAGAUGUGAAAGCCCGGGGCUUAACCUCGGAAUUGCAUUUGAAACUGGCAGGCUAGAGUCUUGUAGAGGGGGUUAGAAUUUCGAGGUGUAGCGGUGAAAUGCGUAGAGAUCUGAAGGAAUACCAGUGGCGAAGGCGGCCCCUGGACAAAGACUGACGCUCAGAUGCGAAAGGCGUGGGAGCAAACAGGAUUAGAUACCCCGUGGUAGACUGUCA